AUUGAACGCUGGCGGCAGGCCUAACACAUGCGAGUCGAGCGGAUGACGGGAUCUUGCUCCUGGAUUCAGCGGCGGACGGGUGACGAAUGCCUAGCAUUCGGCUUACAGGGGGGGAAUACGGUCCGAAAAGGGGCACUACUCCCUCAUACUUCUUGAGGGCGACAGUGGGGGAUUUUAGCUCCUGAGGUUAAAGGUUGGCCUUGGUCCGAUUAGCUAGGUGGGUGGGUUAAGGCACUGCAAGGCGACGAUCCGUAACUUGUCUGAGAGGAUGAUCAGUCACACCGGAACUGAAACACGGUCCAGACUCCUACGGGAGGCAACAGUGGGGAAUAUUGGACAAUGGGCGGAAGCCUGAUCCAGCCAUGCCGCGUGUGUGAAAAAGGUCUUCGGAUUGUAAAUCACUUUAAGUUGGGAGGAAGGGCAGUAAGUUAAUAGCUUGCUGUUUUGACGUUACCAACAGAAUAAGCACCGGCUAACUUCGUG
rnacentral:rRNA from 1 species